CGAGCACGCGCGUGUGGCAUAUCAAUAAGCGGAGGAAAAGAAACUAACAAGGAUUCCCUUAGUAACGGCGAGUGAAGCGGGAAGAGCUCAAAUUUGAAAUCUUCAAGGUUCUACCUUGACGAAUUGUAGUUUAUAGAAGUGUUUUCUGUUAGUGGAGUGGCAAAAGUUCUUUGGAAUAGGACAUCAUAGAGGGUGAGAAUCCCGUAUUUGGUCAUUCCUCCUAGCGUUGUGAUACACUUUCAACGAGUCGGAUUGUUUGGGAAUGCAGUCCAAAAUGGGUGGUAAAUUUCAUCUAAAGCUAAAUAUUGGCGAGAGACCGAUAGCGAACAAGUACCGUGAGGGAAAGAUGAAAAGAACUUUGAAAAGAGAGUUAAACAGUACGUGAAAUUGUCAAAAGGGAAGCGUUUGACACCAGUGUUGUUUUUCCGAAAAUCAAUUACGAAUGUUUUAUUUUUGAGGAGUUAUGACUUCAUCGGCUUGCUCCUUUCUUUAUGAAACUUUCUUAAUGCACUUUUCGGUUAACAAGUCAACAUCAAUUUCUUUUGUUGUAAAAGGGUAUGAGGAAGGUGGCUUUCUUUUCGGAGAAAGUGUUUAUAGCCUUGUGCCUCUGCAAUCGGAGAGAUUGAGGUCUGCAGCGUAGAUCCUUCGGGGUUAGAUACGUUUGUGCUAAGUUAUAGCUUUUCAUAGACAACUUGUUGACUAUGUUUAGUCUUGUAGCUUACUCGCUGACGCUAUUUUACCUACGCUUAGGAUGUUGAACUCUAUCACACACAG
rnacentral:rRNA from 1 species